UAGGGAAUAUUGGUAAUGUGGGAAAGCGCGAACCAGCAACGCCGCGUGCACGAUGAAGGCCUUCGGGUCGUAAAGUGCUUUUAGAGAGGAUGAGGAAGGACAGUACUUUCUGAAUAAGCCUCGGCUAACUACGUGCCAGCAGCCGCGGUAAAACGUAGGAGGCUAGCGUUAUCCGGAUUUACUGGGCGUAAAGCGCAUGCAGGUGGUUUUGUAAGUUGGAUGUGAAAGAUCCUGGCUUAACUGGGAGAGGUCGUUCAAAACUACAAGACUUGAGAUUGGUAGAGGAAAAUGGAAUUCCGGUUGUAGUGGUGAAAUGCGUAGAUAUCCGGAGGAACACCAGUGGCGAAAGCGGUUUUCUGGACCAAUUCUGACACUCAGAUGCGAAAGCUAAGGUAGCAAACG
rnacentral:rRNA from 1 species